rnacentral:rRNA from 1 species
GUGGGGAAUCUUGCGCAAUGGGCGAAAGCCUGACGCAGCCAUGCCGCGUGAAUGAUGAAGGUCUUAGGAUUGUAAAAUUCUUUCACCGGGGACGAUAAUGACGGUACCCGGAGAAGAAGCCCCGGCUAACUUCGUGCCAGCAGCCGCGGUAAUACGAAGGGGGCUAGCGUUGCUCGGAAUUACUGGGCGUAAAGGGCGCGUAGGCGGACAGUUUAGUCAGAGGUGAAAGCCCAGGUCUCAACCUUGGAAUUGCCUUUGAUACUGGCUGUCUUGAGUACGGGAGAGGUGAGUGGAACUCCGAGUGUAGAGGUGAAAUUCGUAGAUAUUCGGAAGAACACCAGUGGCAAAGGCGACUCACUGGCCCGUUACUGACGCUGAGGCGCGAAAGCGUGGGGAGCAAACAGGAUUAGAUACCCGUGUAGUCC